AAAAGUCGUAACAAGGUCUCCGUUGGUGAACCAGCGGAGGGAUCAUUACUGAGUUUACGCUCUAUAACCCUUUGUGAACAUACCUAUAACUGUUGCUUCGGCGGGUAGGGUCUCCGCGACCCUCCCGGCCUCCCGCCUCCGGGCGGGUCGGCGCCCGCCGGAGGAUAACCAAACUCUGAUUUAACGACGUUUCUUCUGAGUGGUACAAGCAAAUAAUCAAAACUUUUAACAACGGAUCUCUUGGUUCUGGCAUCGAUGAAGAACGCAGCGAAAUGCGAUAAGUAAUGUGAAUUGCAGAAUUCAGUGAAUCAUCGAAUCUUUGAACGCACAUUGCGCCCGCCAGCAUUCUGGCGGGCAUGCCUGUUCGAGCGUCAUUUCAACCCUCAAGCUCUGCUUGGUGUUGGGGCCCUACAGCUGAUGUAGGCCCUCAAAGGUAGUGGCGGACCCUCCCGGAGCCUCCUUUGCGUAGUAACUUUACGUCUCGCACUGGGAUCCGGAGGGACUCUUGCCGUAAAACCCCCCAAUUUUCCAAAGGUUGACCUCGGAUCAGGUAGGAAUACCCGCUGAACUUAAG
rnacentral:rRNA from 1 species